rnacentral:rRNA from 1 species
GACGAACGCUGGCGGCGUGCUUAACACAUGCGAGUCGAACGGAAAGGCCCUGCUUUUGUGGGGUGCUCGAGUGGCGAACGGGUGAGUAACACGUGAGUAACCUGCCCUUGACUUUGGGAUAACUUCAGGAAACUGGGGCUAAUACCGGAUAGGAGCUCCUGCUGCAUGGUGGGGGUUGGAAAGUUUCGGCGGUUGGGGAUGGACUCGCGGCUUAUCAGCUUGUUGGUGGGGUAGUGGCUUACCAAGGCUUUGACGGGUAGCCGGCCUGAGAGCGUGACCGGCCACAUUGGGACUGAGAUACGGCCCAGACUCCUACGGGAGGCAGCAGUGGGGAAUAUUGCACAAUGGGCGGAAGCCUGAUGCAGCAACGCCGCGUGCGGGAUGACGGCCUUCGGGUUGUAAACCGCUUUCGCCUGUGACGAAGCGUGAGUGACGGUAACGGGUAAAGAAGCACCGGCUAACUACGUG